rnacentral:rRNA from 1 species
GUGGGGAAUCUUGCGCAAUGGGCGAAAGCCUGACGCAGCCAUGCCGCGUGAAUGAUGAAGGUCUUAGGAUUGUAAAAUUCUUUCACCGGGGACGAUAAUGACGGUACCCGGAGAAGAAGCUCCGGCUAACUUCGUGCCAGCAGCCGCGGUAAUACGAAGGGGGCUAGCGUUGCUCGGAAUUACUGGGCGUAAAGGGCGCGUAGGCGGACAGCUUAGUCAGAGGUGAAAGCCCAGGGCUCAACCUUGGAAUUGCCUUUGAUACUGGCUGUCUUGAGUUUGGGAGAGGUGAGUGGAACUCCGAGUGUAGAGGUGAAAUUCGUAGAUAUUCGGAGGAACACCAGUGGCGAAGGCGGCUCACUGGCUCGAUACUGACGCUGAGGUGCGAAAGCGUGGGGAGCAAACAGGAUUAGAUACCCGAGUAGUCC